rnacentral:rRNA from 1 species
UACGUAGGUGGCGAGCGUUGUCCGGAUUUACUGGGCGUAAAGGGCGUGCAGGCGGUUUGUUAAGUGCAGGGUGAAAGCUCCCGGCUCAACUGGGAGAGGUCCUUGCAUACUGGCGAACUCGAGGGAGGCAGAGGAAAGUGGAAUUCCCGGUGUAGUGGUGAUAUGCGUAGAUAUCAGGAGGAACACCGGUGGCGAAGGCGGAUCUCUGGGCCUUACCUGGACGCUGAGGAGCGAAAGCAUGGGGAGCAAACAGG